AGAGUUUGAUCAUGGCUCAGGACGAACGCUGGCGGCGUGCUUAACACAUGCAAGUCGAGCGGUAAGGCCCCUUCGGGGGUACACGAGCGGCGAACGGGUGAGUAACACGUGAGUGACCUGCCCCUGACUCCGGGAUAAGCGGUGGAAACGCUGUCUAAUACCGGAUAGGACCUUCCGUCGCAUGGCGGGGGGUGGAAAGCCUUGUGCGGUUGGGGAUGGGCUCGCGGCCUAUCAGCUUGUUGGUGGGGUAACGGCCUACCAAGGCGAUUACGGGUAGCCGGCCUGAGAGGGCGACCGGCCACACUGGGACUGAGACACGGCCCAGACUCCUGCGGGAGGCAGCAGUGGGGAAUCUUGCGCAAUGGGCGAAAGCCUGACGCAGCGACGCCGCGUGGGGGAUGACGGCCUUCGGGUUGUAAACCUCUUUUACCACUAACGCAGGCUCGGGGUGUUCUCCGGGUUGACGGUAGGUGGGGAAUAAGGACCGGCUAACUACGUGCCAGCAGCCGCGGUAAUACGUAGGGUCCGAGCGUUGUCCGGAAUUAUUGGGCGUAAAGAGCUCGUA
rnacentral:rRNA from 1 species